UCGCGUCCGAUUCGAGUUUCGGAUACCUCUGCCUGGACGCCGUGUCUGCGGACGAUCUGGAGUGGUACAUCCACAACCGCGCAUCGCGUGUCCAAGGUGUCGCAUUCCUUCGCCUGUUCAAGCGGGCCGCUGCCGUGAUCCGCCUCGAGGAGCAGGCCGAGGCCGGUGCUCGAGCAUGGAUGGCGGCCGCCGUGAUCGACGCCGGCCUGGCUGGUGCAGCGGGAGCUGAUGGCGCCGCAACCCUGGUGGCCGACGCGGUGCGUUCCUGGAGAUGCGCAAACCGCGGCAAGGCCCUGCCGAAUCUGGACGACAAGAAGGGCUUCGACGCAAUUCUGAGCUUGGCGCAUUCGCUCAGGCGCACGGAGACGGACUUUGUCGAUAUGGUGGAAGCCUAUGCCCUCGAACACUGGUUGCGGCCUCUGCGGGCUGUUUUGACGGGGAAGAACCGGCUGGCGCUCUACGUUGAGGUUCCGGCGUCCGAGCGAAACGACGACGUCAUGGAAUGGCGCUGGGUGCGCCGGCUCAGCAUCGCGAUGAAGCCGAAGCUGAACGAGACCUCCCGCAAGCUCGUCUGGCUCACCGAGAAGGCCGACGCCAAGGAAGUCGAGAUCAAGCGCUGGCCCGAGCUGGAUGCCUGGACGAAUGCCUACCCCGAGCCUUUCAAGGUCGACCACCUGCUGUCGGUCGUGAACAUGGUCGAGCGCGGCAUGCCGACGCUGGCCGAGAUGUUCAAGGGAGUUGGCGAGGGAGUUGACGAGGAUGCCUUCACGCUCAUGCAUCGCGAGUUCAAGCAACGUCUUUGGCACUCAUCCUCCAAGACCGUGCCGUCGGUCACCAUCAGCGUGCCGAUCGCGGCCUUUGCCAAGUACGGACGUCGGAACAGCAGUUCGGGCGUGCGCCAAGUCGAGGGGCUGCGUGUGGUGACGGUUCGGGCGCUUGCCUGCAAGUGGCUUCAGCACUUCGGUGACGCAGCUCAGCGCGCGAAGACUGAGCGCACCUACGUUGAUAUUUUCAAGGUGAAGGAGGUCGCCCAGCAGACGCUCGCCCUUCCCUUCGAUCCAAGCCUCGAUGCCGUGGACGGUCGGUCCAUCGACAGCAUCAUUGCGUUCGAUGCCCCCUGGAUCGAAGACGACAGCAUUCGAGUGGCGCAGUCCUACGCGCGCAACGCGAGCAAGGCUGGCGUCCCCACGAAUCUCACGCGGGUAGAACGGACCAUCGAUGAGGCACUCGCCUUCUGGAUGCAGGACGUCAAGCCGGAAGGCGCGCAGGGGACAAGCUACAGGCCGGAGAAGGUGCUGGUGCACCCGGCCGCCUGGGAUGGCGAGCGUGCGCACCUGAUCGCCGCCCUGGAUCUUCCGACCAAGGAAUCUGAAUGACCGCAACGUCCACACGAACACUCAGCCCCAUCAUUCGCGACCGCGCCGGCGCCGUGCAGCCGAUCUCCGCGGCGAUCGCUGCGAUCACAGGGCAGCCCCUGACCGAGGUCAGUCGCAUGCUGUGGCAGUGCAUUCACGCCUUGAAGGGGCUAGCGGGCGUCAACGG
rnacentral:misc_RNA from 1 species